GGCUGAUCCAAAGGUAGCGAGUUAUCUCACUUGAUUGUUCACAGUCAGUUACAAAUUGAACUCUUGUUCUACUACUUUUUCCCUUUAUCACUACUGCACUUCACUGGCCUUUA
rnacentral:Y_RNA from 1 species